rnacentral:rRNA from 1 species
AUUGAACGCUGGCGGCAGGCCUAACACAUGCAAGUCGAGCGGCAGCGGGAAAGUAGCUUGCUACUUUUGCCGGCGAGCGGCGGACGGGUGAGUAAUGCCUGGGAAAUUGCCCAGUCGAGGGGGAUAACAGUUGGAAACGACUGCUAAUACCGCAUACGCCCUACGGGGGAAAGCAGGGGACCUUCGGGCCUUGCGCGAUUGGAUAUGCCCAGGUGGGAUUAGCUAGUUGGUGAGGUAAUGGCUCACCAAGGCGACGAUCCCUAGCUGGUCUGAGAGGAUGAUCAGCCACACUGGAACUGAGACACGGUCCAGACUCCUACGGGAGGCAGCAGUGGGGAAUAUUGCACAAUGGGGGGAAACCCUGAUGCAGCCAUGCCGCGUGUGUGAAGAAGGCCUUCGGGUUGUAAAGCACUUUCAGCGAGGAGGAAAGGUUGGCGCCUAAUACGUGUCAACUGUGACGUUACUCGCAGAAGAAGCACCGGCUAACUCCGUGCCAGCAGCCGCAGUAA